CAGCCGCCGCGGUAAUACGUAGGGUGCGAGCGUUAAUCGGAUUUACUGGGCGUAAAGCGUGCGCAGGCGGCCCGUUAAGACAGGUGUGAAAUCCCUGGGCUCAACCUAGGAAUUGCGCUUGUGACUGGCGGGCUCGAGUACGGUAGAGGGGGGUGGAAUUCCUGGUGUAGCAGUGAAAUGCGUAGAGAUCAGGAGGAACACCGAUGGCGAAGGCAGCCCCCUGGGCCUGUACUGACGCUCAUGCACGAAAGCGUGGGGAGCAAACAGGAUUAGAUACCCUGGUAGUCCACGCCCUAAACGAUGGGUACUAGCCGUUUGGUGCGCGAUAGCGCUGAGUGGCGAAGCUAACGCGUGAAGUACCCCGCCUGGGGAGUACGGCCGCAAGGUUGAAACUUAAAAGAAUUGGCGGG
rnacentral:rRNA from 1 species